rnacentral:rRNA from 1 species
ACUCCUACGGGAGGCAGCAGUGGGGAAUCUUGGACAAUGGGCGCAAGCCUGAUCCAGCCAUGCCGCGUGAGUGAUGAUGGCCCUAGGGUCGUAAAGCUCUUUCGCCAGGGAUGAUAAUGACAGUACCUGGUAAAGAAACCCCGGCUAACUCCGUGCCAGCAGCCGCGGUAAUACGGAGGGGUUAGCGUUGUUCGGAAUUACUGGGCGUAAAGCGCGCGUAGGCGGACUAUUAAGUCAGGGGUGAAAUCCCGGGGCUCAACCCCGGAACUGCCCUUGAUACUGGUAGUCUUGAGUUCGAGAGAGGUGAGUGGAAUUCCGAGUGUAGAGGUGAAAUUCGUAGAUAUUCGGAGGAACACCAGUGGCGAAGGCGGCUCACUGGCUCGAUACUGACGCUGAGGUGCGAAAGUGUGGGGAGCAAACAGGAUUAGAUACCCUGGUAGGCUCUGC